GCGCAGCUAUGAGACGUACAAUAAAGGCGUGAGCAAACGGGCUGUAUCCAAUCAACGCAGGAGUCGCGGUGUUUAUGUUUAGGCCGCGGCUUUCGCCCAAUGAGCGCAAAGAUCCCAGAAGUCAAGAGAGUGACGCAGGGCCUGUCCAAUCACCGCCGUUGGCUGGGGGUAGGCGUGACUGUCUUGUACAUUGGUGAAGUUACCGCCCUCAUCGUGAGUGAAGCGACACUAGGCCAAUCACCACGGAUUUACCGGUCUCAGCUGAGCGUCGAAGCUUUUGUCCAAUCGGCGCCGAGAUUUCGGCAGGAGGCGGGAGGGAUACGGCUCUCGUCCAAUCACAAUUUUAAUUCCAAGACUUUACUGAAUUACGGCGGGAGGUGACACUUCCGAGAAAUGUCCACUGGGCGGCGACAGAGAUACACGAGUCUAUGGAGACGGACUCGGCAGGAGCUGUUUCUCUCUGGAGUGAAGCUCUCUUGGGAAGAAACGAGCAAAGUCUUCAGACUCUUUCUAAUUGAGACAUCAUGACAGCUGUGCCAACAUGAUCUUCAUUGACCCGUUGAACCUGUUUGUGUAAAGAGCAGGAGUACUGUGUACCCCUAUUGUGUUAUGUGUACUCUAAUGUGUUUUUUUCUGUUUUCUAUUUUUAUUUCACAAGUCGGACCCGGGCAGUAGCCUGUGUCUUCAGCGCUCGUCCUGCCUAGGUGAUAGACUUGGCACAGAAACAGAACCCACUGCCGUCGUGUCUGUGGGUUUCUUUGCUCCCCUGUCUUGUUUGCAAACUUUUUUCCUGUGUUUAUUUUACUUUGUUAAAUAAUAUGUUGUUGCCAGAGCAACCGUACUACAGAAAUUGUUGCAGGAGCGGGUCUGACCUCCAGCACGUAAACAGCCGACGUUUUAAAUCUAAUCGGCGAGGAAAACAGGAGCUGUAGCUCAAAACUCGUUGUCAGGACCAUCUUUGUGGAUAUUACAUGAGUGAGGAAGAAACGUUGAGAAGCGGAGCCGGUCGUGUGUCGCAGGCUAUGGGACAGGACUGUUAGGGAAACACGCAGCAGGCGGAGAAAUAUCAGUGCUGGACACCAGACUCACACCGCUGGGCUCACCGGAGUCUCCGGUCACAACAUUAUCUGCAAGUGGAUGUGAAAAGGUUUCUCUGGACUGCAGUCCUCUUGCACUCUGCUUAGGAUGUGCUGUGCUGUUCUCUACAACAUAAGACCCUUUGUUGGAAGGAAUGGGAAGCUAUAGGCAGAAUCCCAAUCUCUGAUACAUCUAAUCAAAACAGUUUCAAGUCAGAAGGAUGGGCGUCUCCAAGCCGGUCUCUGCAGCUGAGGCUCUGAGGAGCUCCCGACAGACACGAGUGGAGCUUCGCUUUCAACACCACUGUGGUCAGUAAAGGUUUAAUAUUCUUAAACACGAGAGCUGGAGUUUCUCUGAA